rnacentral:rRNA from 1 species
GACAGAGGAUGCAAGCGUUAUCCGGAAUGAUUGGGCGUAAAGCGUCUGUAGGUGGCUUUUUAAGUCUGCCGUCAAAUCCCAGGGCUUAACCCUGGACAGGCGGUGGAAACUACCAAGCUGGAGUACGGUAGGGGCAGGGGGAAUUUCCGGUGGAGCGGUGAAAUGCGUAGAGAUCGGAAAGAACACCAACGGCGAAAGCACUCUGCUGGGCCGACACUGACACUGAGACGCGAAAGCGUGGGGAGCGAACAGG